rnacentral:rRNA from 1 species
GGGAUUCCCCUAGUAGCGGCGAGCGAAGCGGGAAGAGCUCAAAUUUAUAAUCUGGCACCUUCGGUGUCCGAGUUGUAAUCUCUAGAAAUGUUUUCCGCGUUGGACCGCACACAAGUCUGUUGGAAUACAGCGGCAUAGUGGUGAGACCCCCGUAUAUGGUGCGGACGCCCAGCGCUUUGUGAUACAUUUUCGAAGAGUCGAGUUGUUUGGGAAUGCAGCUCAAAUUGGGUGGUAAAUUCCAUCUAAAGCUAAAUAUUGGCGAGAGACCGAUAGCGAACAAGUACCGUGAGGGAAAGAUGAAAAGCACUUUGGAAAGAGAGUUAACAGUACGUGAAAUUGUUGGAAGGGAAACGCUUGAAGUCAGACUUGCUUGCCGAGCAAUCGGUUUGCAGGCCAGCAUCAGUUUUCCGGGAUGGAUAAUGGUAGAGAGAAGGUAGCAGUUUCGGCUGUGUUAUAGCUCUCUGCUGGAUACAUCUUGGGGGACUGAGGAACGCAGUGUGCCUUUGGCGGGGGUUUCGACCUCUUCACACUUAGGAUGCUGGUGGAAUGGCUUUAAACGACCCGUCUUGAAACACGGACC